rnacentral:tRNA from 1 species
UACGUUGGCGCUUUUUGCGCCAAAGGGUAGUUUAAUUAGAAGAUUCCGGUUUUGGGGACCGGAGAUGAAGGU